rnacentral:ncRNA from 1 species
UUGUCCAUCGGGGCUGCAGAUACCUGCUUAGAUUUUU